UGAGGAAUAUUGGUCAAUGGACGCAAGUCUGAACCAGCCAAGUAGCGUGCAGGAUGACGGCCCUAUGGGUUGUAAACUGCUUUUAUAUGGGGAUAAAGUGGGGAACGUGUUCCCUUUUGCAGGUACCAUAUGAAUAAGGACCGGCUAAUUCCGUGCCAGCAGCCGCGGUAAUACGGAAGGUUCGGGCGUUAUCCGGAUUUAUUGGGUUUAAAGGGAGCGUAGGCCGCUUGGUAAGCGUGUUGUGAAAUGUAGGAGCUCAACUUCUAGAUUGCAGCGCGAACUGUCAGACUUGAGUGCGCACAACGUAGGCGGAAUUCAUGGUGUAGCGGUGAAAUGCUUAGAUAUCAUGAAGAACUCCGAUUGCGAAGGCAGCUUACGGGAGCGCAACUGACGCUGAAGCUCGAAGGUGCGGGUAUCGAACAGGAUUAGAUACCCUGGUAGUCCGCACAGUAAACGAUGGAUGCCCGCUGUUAGCACCUAGUGUUAGCGGCUAAGCGAAAGCAUUAAGCAUCCCACCUGGGGAGUACGCCGGCAACGGUG
rnacentral:rRNA from 1 species